CUAACUGACACCCCAUACCAGCAUUAUAUUGACACUUGGGGGCUGAGAUGGGUGGGUGGGGAGGGUGGGUGGUGUUAAAAGCACUUUAUGUUUUGUAGAUGUAUUUUUUCAGACAGGGCACACACAAUCAUGUCUCCUUUGUGGCAAAACCUUCAAACUUCACCAUCCUCAGCUGAAACAACAACAUCUUAACACCAUCUUCAUGAACUGCUGAGCCAAACCUGAUCCAUCAGUGCUGGACUGCACAGAUAACUACAUGCCACAAGGAGACUGCUGUUUUAUGAACUGCCACACCAGUGUGUCUUCAAUGGAGAAGAUCACAUCACCUGACCUCCUGCCUAAUCUAGAAACCAUCACUAUGCUGCCACAGUCGACACCUCUGAAACCAUCAAGGAUGACUCAUACUGAGGAAACUGCAUUUCCUGUCAGUCCAGUGAUCUACAGAAAGGUACUGCUGUCUUCUGAGUUUUUCAGUUUCCAAACUGAGACAUUCAAACCUCAUCACAGAGCUUGUGUCUAUCUUCACCAAUCUCACACUCACAUGGUGUGAGAUUGCUCUGGAUUCUGGUUAUUGGCCUGCAGCACCUAUGAGGUAUUUGAAUAUUUUCUCAUUGUAUAACUUGUUUGUAGUUUUUAUGCCUUAACACCAAUGAAAUGUUGUGGGGUUUUUUGUAUUUUUUUUUUAGAACAAGCUCAUCCUGCAUGCCUGCAUUCCAGCUUCUUAGAUUCUACACAAGUGGACAGAGUGUCAGUGUUUGACCGCUCUUUUAGACACCAACUUCUGGCACCUCACUCCAGGAAGACAGGGCUGCAAGUCUGUCAUCGUUUCCAGUGUGACUUUGCAUUCUUGGGGUAGCAUCAGAUUUUUCCCACAAAUAUUCAAAGGUAACACUUAUUUUGAGCUUAUUUAUUAAAUCAAAAGUCUUCCAUUGUGUAAAUUAUAUUUGAUAUGUUUUUGUCUUCUUUUAGAUUUAGAUGCAGUGAUCAGAUGUGCUGGAGUUUUGUUAACCGUGUGGAAAACAUCUGUUUGUGAUGGUAUUCAAAAUGAGGCUUUAAGGUGACAGUUUCCUUGUGAUUUCAGUCCUUUUACUAAACAAAAACAUUUUUAAUUAACAUAUUAUUUUUUUAGCAGCACAUCAUUGUUCAAAGGUAAAUAGAGCCACAUGUCACACCAACAAUGAAUUUUUGACUCUGUUUGUGUCACCAGAUUUAACAAACAAUAUCGGACAUAUAAAACUGAACUUUGGAUUAAUGUGCACAUAUAUUGUUUUGUAUUUUUGAUUGUUGAACAAUUAUGUUGUAGAAAAAAAUCCAAUCUAUUUACCCAAACAAUGUAACUUGUUUGGGUAAAUAGUGGAUUAGUGUAAUUUUAGUCUAUAAGUAUAGCAGCCUGAAUUCAUACAAACACACAGCUCUAAAUCUUGAAUUGUAGAAUGCACAAUAAUGAUCAUUUGAUUAUUAUGGACAUUUAAAUCAGAAUCUAUUGAACCAGACACACAUUCUUUAUAGAGAUUACACAAUCUCAAAAAAAAAGAAAGUGUUUAAGAGGAUAAGUAAAGAAAGUGUGUUUGUAUGAAUAUUGUCUCAGUAUGGGGUGUCAGUAAGUACAUGAGUAUAGAAUAGGUGUAACAGUGGUUUUCCACAUCUGUGCUUAGACUGCUCUAAUAUAUAUAGAUAAUGGGUCAGACAUAUAGUUUGACCUAUUAAGUCUGUUUGAAAAGUUCAUGAAGGUGUCAUGAAGGUGUCCAGUGCUAUGUGUUUCUGUUUAUCAUUUUAUGAGGUCACACAGCUGACAUGAGUCAGAGUAGAACCAUAAUAUUCAUGUUAAUGAGUCUACUGUUUACAGCUACUUCAUGAUGACUUUCAUCCUGGUCACAGUACUAUGUGAAAAGCUGUAAGAGGUAAAGUUAACCCAAAUAAUAUCUGAUCAUAAGUCACUCUCUAACAUUGAUUAUUUUUCAAUAUAAUUUAUUCCACAACAAUGUUCUUUAUUUUAUCCCUGUUUCUUCAAAUAUGCACAUCAAUUGUUCAGCUGUGUGACUCUCCAUACCUGAAAUAUAUCACAAUGUGAACUUCAUUUCAACAGUAUUCCUUAGUUUGGUACCAUAUUUAUCAUCAAAUCAGGAAACGGUAAACUAAUUGAAAAAAGAAGCUUUUGAACAUUUUAAUGUGUAAAAAUAUAUAUAUGUAUAUGUAUAAUUUUUUAAAUUAAUAGAACAUAAACAUGGCAAACAAAGAUAUAUUCACAAUUCCAACGGAUGCUUCAAUUGUUUGUAUAGAUUUUAGAUUAAUUUGGUCAAACAUCUGUUUGAAAUUGUGGUUAUCAGAGUGUUGAU
rnacentral:lncRNA from 1 species